UACGAAGGGGGCUAGCGUUGUUCGGAAUUACUGGGCGUAAAGGGCGCGCAGGCGGCCAUCCAAGUCAGGCGUGAAAGCCCCGGGCUCAACCUGGGAACUGCGCUUGAGACUGAAUGGCUUGAGUUCGGGAGAGGAGAGUGGAAUUCCCAGUGUAGUGGUGAAAUGCGCAGAUAUCGGGAGGAACACCGGUGGCGAAGGCGGUUCUCUGGGCCUUACCUGACGCUGAGGAGCGAAGGCGUGGGGAGCGAACAGG
rnacentral:rRNA from 1 species